rnacentral:hammerhead_ribozyme from 1 species
AUCCAGCUGACCAGUCCCAAAUAGGACAGAUCGCGUGUCCUGGAU